rnacentral:lncRNA from 1 species
CAGACAUCUGCUCCAGCCUAUUCUUAGAUUGCUGCUCCAAGACAUAGGAAAUGAGAGAGUAGCUCUGGGCUAUAAUUGAAGGGCUGGUCUUACAGAUGAUAAAAGCCCAAGGCCUGCCCAAACACAGCUUUCUCAGGAAUUGCCAGAACCCAGAGGCUUACAUCUUGAAAUCUCUCCAGACUGUUCCCCAAGAAUCUUUUUCUGCACCCCUUACUUGUCUCUUAUGCUGCCUCUUCAGAAAACAGAAAUCAGAAAAGAUGAGAUUGGUAACUGGUGAAGCCAGGAGAAGAUAAAAAGGAACUCAGGAAGGGAAGAGUCAUGACACCAAGGAAGAGGGAGAAGAGUCUGGAGGUUUUGCCCUCAUCUUACAUGGGAGAGAUGGCACUGAUAGACUGAAGAACCCUAGAGAUUUAUCUUUGGCUUACCAAGAAACUGUAUGUACUACAUAGUUUAGCAAAGCUAUUAGAAAUAAUUAGAGGGGCAACUGGGUGGCUCAGUGAAUUGAGAGUCAGGCCCAGAGAUGGGAGGUCCUAGGUUCAAGUCUGACCUCAGACACUUCCUAGCUGUGUGACCCUGGGCAAGUCACUUAAUCCCCAUUGCCUGAAUCUUACCACUCUUCUGCCUUAGAACCAAUACACAGUAUUGAUUCUAAGAUGGGAGGUAAAGGUUUAAAAAAAAAGGAAUAAUUAGAAGUUAGAGAGAGAAGGGGGGAAAAACCAUUCGGUUAACACUUUAGCCAGUUGAAAAUGAGGGGGGGAAAUUGGUAGAGUGACAAAAAGUGGCUAAAGGAGCCAUGUAUUUUCUCAGAUAUAUAGGGAAUUGAGCCAAAUUUAUAAAAAUAAGAGCAAUUCCCCAGUUGAUAGUCAAAGGAUACAAACAGGCAGUUUUUAGAAGAAGAAAUUAAAACUAUUGCUAGUCACAUGAAAAAAAAAUGUUCUAAAUCACUAUUGACUAGGAAAUUGAAAAUUAAAACCACUCUGCCAGAUUAAAAUAAUGCCUCACCCCUAUUAGAUUGGUUAACAUGACAAAAAAGUGGAAAAGGUCAAACUCUGGAGCGAAUAUAGAAAUAAAUGGAACACUAAUACACUGUUGGUGGAGUUG